rnacentral:tRNA from 1 species
GGUCUCGUGGCCGAGUGGCUUAGGCAUCGGUCUGCAAAACCGAGUACAGCGGUUCGAAUCCGCUCGAGACCUCC